rnacentral:rRNA from 1 species
AACGAACGCUGGCGGCGUGGAUAAGACAUGCAAGUCGAGCGGGAACUUUCGCUGUAGCAAUACAGUGAAAGUUCUAGCGGCGAACGGGUGCGUAACACGUGGACAAUCUGCCUUAAAGUGGGGGGAUAGCUCGGCGAAAGCCCGAAUUAAUACCGCAUGUGAUGAGAGACGACAUCGUCUUGAAAUCAAAGCCGGGGCAACCUGGCGCUUUUUGAGGAGUCCGCGGCCAUCAGCUUGUUGGUGAGGUAACGGCUCACCAAGGCUAUGACGGGUAGCUGGUCUGAGAGGACGACCAGUCACACUGGAACUGAGACACGGUCCAGACACCUACGGGUGGCAGCAGUCGAGAA